rnacentral:sRNA from 1 species
ACCGAGUGCAUUGAUGUGUACAUGUACUCCAACCUUCUCAGGGGGCUGAAGUAGGAGGAUGGCUUGAGCUCAGGAGUUUUAGACAGCUUGGGCAACACAGCAAACUCUCUCUUAU